ACCUCGGUUCUGAUAUCGGACGCCCGAGA
rnacentral:sRNA from 1 species